CAUACAGACAAGACACAGACAUACUACAGAAGACAUACAGAGGAGAAGUCAAUGGAAAACUGAGAGAUGUGGAACGAUGCUGGGACAUCGGAAGACAGAGGAGGGUUUCUACUGAAAUACCUGAUGAUCUCAUGCUGUCACUGUUAACUCCUGUGAAAGGAAGGCAUCCAGUAUCUUUAUCCUAAGCAUUUGGAGAUCAUGGGUUCCAGCUUCCAGAGCACCACUGAAGUGGGGAAGGAAGAGCAUGGGGAUCAAAGAUCAACCUAAAGGGCAGUGCGAUUUUUUUUUUCUUAUCAACAUUGUAAUGAAACAGGCCAUGCCUGUAAUCCCAGCACGUAGGAGGAUAAGGUGGGCAGAUCACUUGAGGUCAGGAGUUUGAGACCAGCCUGGCCAACGUGGUAAAACCCAGUCUCUACUAAAAAAAAUGCAAAAAUAAACAUGGUAAAAUUGGUUUCUGUUAUAUAUUGUUCACUUAAAGUUGCAGUUUCCGAGAACCUAUUAAUGACAUUAGGUGUGGAUUUGACUACUUUGCUUUGUCCCUUGUGCAUAUUCUCCUUCAGUGAGCUUGGCAGGGAAGUCCAGUGCAGGAUUCUGGUAUUCCAAGAUCUUCUGAC
rnacentral:lncRNA from 10 species